AUAAGUUUUCUUUUUCGAGCAUGCGCACUUGAGAAGUUUGUGAAAAGCCCGCGAAGCAAAGAGAAUUUUCCUUCCGGUCUUGGAUGUGUCAAGUGAUCUUCUUGAUCAGAAAUUCAAUUACGUCGUCGGUUGACAUCUACCUAUACCCAUGGAUUAUCUCCAUCACCUUCACAACCUUGAAUUGCUAAGAGAGCUACCUUUGCCAAGACCACGUCGUGGGCUACGGGAUGCUAGAAAUCCAUCGGAAUCGUAUGAGGAUGGGCCAUUUCGAGAUCGGUAUCAACUGUCAAAAGAAACCGUCAUUUACAUCAUCAACAUGCUGGAAGCCAAAUUG